AUACCUUUCUUGACCUUUUGGCUAAGAUCAAGUGUAGUAUAUGUUCUUAUCAAUUCAAUAUCUGAUAUGUGAGUCACUGACUCACAUGAUAUUAACUCUAUUUUUUGAGGGGAAGGUUCAUAAUGGUAGCUAGCUAUCGGGACCUUCAAGUGUCGUCUAGGCGUUGCAAUAUCGCCUUGGCUUGGCUCACCCCAC
rnacentral:snRNA from 2 species